rnacentral:lncRNA from 1 species
ACAAUUGCAUUAUGGCAAGUGACAUGUGAACCAAGUACAUACUUGACGAGUAGCAUAUGUAUACCAAAUAAACAACCUGAUGAGUGGCAUUAGAACGUAGUGUUAAAAGAACACUUGUGCAUGUUGGUCAUAGUGACCGGGUACCUUCGUUGGAAACGGAUUUGAUCAUACUCACACAGUCUGUUCAGCGCUUGUGGCGGUCGCUCCGCACAAGUAGUGCGAGCUCCGGAGUCUUGGCACGUGAAACGAUUGGGAUAGU